AGGAUGAUUGAAGAAUUUGUGAAUUUUUCAUAAAUCGCUUUCUCAUCGAUUUAUGAAAAAUUCUUCCGCUACGGUAGAGUUGUGUUACGUUUAAGUAUGAGUUGUAUUAGAUACGUAAAUUAAAGUCAGACAUCACGUAAAUAUUGUAAGCCGUUAACAUUCAGAAUAAAAUGCACUGCUCCGCAAACCACAAAUUGAGAGCCCCUGCACACGUUUGCGUUCCAUCCGUCAACCGAGAAGAACGACCGAUCGGUGACGCUCACACAAUUUCACAUACCUGCACACCAUAAGACCACCCUCUGCAUAGCAUCGAGAACGUGCACCAGAAAACAACAUCCUCACAAGACUGCCACCACCACACCGUCAAGCUGGAGAAGAGAGAUCGCUCUCUGCGCUCUUUUACGCACACAACCGUCACACACGCCACGACGGGGGAGACGAUUGCGAAUUCGAGGCCAGCUCACUCAGUUAGUGUCAGCCCGCCGAAACGACAGUGCACGCAAAUCGAAAGAGUCCGGUCUUCGUUGAAACGAAAAACUUAGCCGUCCAUCUUGUGAAGUUUGGUAGGAUAACCGCGUGUGGUUCCUCGAGUGAAAUUAGUGCCAGGCAGGAGGCCCACCAUUUGAUUCCAGCCAAGGGAAAUAGAGCGCACAGAGGGACACACGGACCACCAUUUUGCAUUUCGGUUUGCAGAAACCACGUUGCCCAGGGUAAAAACGCAAAAAACCCAUACGAUCAGCCCUCGAAGUCGAGAAACAGCGCGACGGUCGGAACCGGUGCGUGGGAACCCAACCAGUUGGUGCAUCGGUAAGGCCUUUUACCACCCGUUUUGGAUAAGCAAGUUUAAACGCCGUUUCUGUUUAAUUGCGCAGUUUCCACCACGCCGGACUACUGUAACCCUGAUUGCACCAUUCCCGAAGGUCAACCGAUAGUCAUACAUCCCCGGGACAAAGAAAGCCUUCCAUAGGAAGGCUUUCUUUUUUCGUUUAUUGCAGUCAGUUCGAGAGGUCAUUGGCAAGGCGGUGGCAGCGAGUCAGUGUGGUCUUCAACCCCCCUCAAUCCGGUUCAAGUCAACCGCGGAUCUAAUCUCGCCAACAUUAGGGAAGGCACCCGGCGGCGUGCGUCAUAUGAUCACCGAAUAGACGGAUUCGGAGCGAUUGGCGGCUCUCGGCUGGUGCAGGAAAGAAGCGAUUAUCCGGAGGGACGAAACUAUCCGCUAGGCAGAGCAGCGUCAGAGAACUGCACGCGGUCUCGCGGGUGUCGUCAGUUCAGCAGCAAGAUCAAGUCGGUGUGAGCAUCGGCCAGAAAGGCGGAAUGAUGGGGCUGCAGAGCGUCAACGGGGUAGCGGCGGUAAGCAGGGCGCGCCCGAAAGUGCAGUGAGUAGAGCAAAUCUAGUUUUUAAGCAAAGUAAAGGUUAAAGGAGAGGCUAGGAGUCAGAAGAUAGGAGGAAAGGAUCAGGAAAAGGAAAAUGAUGGUCU